rnacentral:rRNA from 1 species
GCGGCAACAGCUCAAUUUGAAAUCUGGCUUCGGCCCGAGUUGUAAUUUGCAGAGGAAGCUUUAGGCGCGGCACCUUCUGAGUCCCCUGGAACGGGGCGCCAUAGAGGGUGAGAGCCCCGUAUAGUUGGAUGCCUAGCCUGUGUAAAGCUCCUUCGACGAGUCGAGUAGUUUGGGAAUGCUGCUCAAAAUGGGAGGUAAAUUUCUUCUAAAGCUAAAUACCGGCCAGAGACCGAUAGCGCACAAGUAGAGUGAUCGAAAGAUGAAAAGCACUUUGAAAAGAGGGUUAAAUAGCACGUGAAAUUGUUGAAAGGGAAGCGCUUGUGACCAGACUUGCGCCGGGCGGAUCAUCCGGUGUUCUCACCGGUGCACUCCGCCCGGCUCAGGCCAGCAUCGGUUCUCGCGGGGGGAUAAAGGCCCUGGGAACGUAGCUCCUCCGGGAGUGUUAUAGCCCAGGGCGUAAUGCCCUCGCGGGGACCGAGGACCGCGCAUCUGCAAGGAUGCUGGCGUAAUGGUCAUCAGCGACCCGUCUUGAAACACGGACCAAGGAGUCAAGGUUUUGCGCGAGUGUUUGGGUGUAAAACCCGCACGCGUAAUGAAAGUGAACGUAGGUGAGAGCUUCGGCGCAUCAUCGACCGAUCCUGAUGUUUUCGGAUGGAUUUGAGUAGGAGCGUUAAGCCUUGGACCCGAAAGAUGGUGAACUAUGCUUGGAUAGGGUGAAGCCAGAGGAAACUCUGGUGGAGGCUCGCAGCGGUUCUGACGUGCAAAUCGAUCGUCAAAUCUGAGCAUGGGGGCGAAAGACUAAUCGAACCAUCUAGUAGCUGGUUACCGCCGAAGUU